rnacentral:rRNA from 1 species
CCUACGGGAGGCAGCAGUAGGGAAUCUUCCGCAAUGGACGAAAGUCUGACGGAGCAACGCCGCGUGAACGAUGAAGGCCUUCGGGUCGUAAAGUUCUGUUGUUAGGGAAGAACAAGUGUUAGUUGAAUAAGCUGGCACCUUGACGGUACCUAACCAGAAAGCCACGGCUAACUACGUGCCAGCAGCCGCGGUAAUACGUAGGUGGCAAGCGUUGUCCGGAAUUAUUGGGCGUAAAGCGCGCGCAGGCGGUUUCUAAGUCUGAUGUGAAAGCCCCCGGCUCAACCGGGGAGGGUCAUUGGAAACUGGGAAACUUGAGUGCAGAAGAGGAAAGUGGAAUUCCAAGUGUAGCGGUGAAAUGCGUAGAGAUUUGGAGGAACACCAGUGGCGAAGGCGACUUUCUGGUCUGUAACUGACGCUGAGGCGCGAAAGCGUGGGGAGCAAACAGGAUUAGAUACCCUGGUAGUCCACGCUGUAAACGAUGAGUGCUAAGUGUUAGAGGGUUUCCGCCCUUUAGUGCUGAAGUUAACGCAUUAAGCACUCCGCCUGGGGAGUACGGUCGCAAAGACUGAAACUCAAAGGAAUUGACGGU